GAGGAAAGUCCGGGCUCUAUUUAUAAUAGUAUAGUUGUAUAAAAUACAGUAUAGGUAACUAUGAGGAUUGUGCCACAGAAAUAUACCGCCUGUAUAGGUAAGGGUGCAAUGGCUUGGUAAAAGCAGGCCAGAAAUAUUAUUAAGAUAUUUGCUAGGUAAACCCCAUAUUAGAGCAAAGUAGUUAUAUAGAAUAAUUAGCAUCGCUUUUAUAAAAUUUGCUAAUAUUUAAAAUUUUUAAUGAAUUAUUUUAUACUGCAUUAAGUAAUUUAUUACUCUAGAUUAAUAAUUACCCUUUUCAUCUUCUUAUAGAUUUGUUAGAAUUUUGAAGAGAACUAAACCCGGCUUAU
rnacentral:RNase_P_RNA from 1 species